rnacentral:rRNA from 1 species
UACAUAGGGUGCGAGCGUUAAUCGGAAUUACUGGGCGUAAAGGGCGCGUAGGCGGAUGGCACAGUCAGAUGUGAAAUUCCCGGGCUUAACCUGGGGGCUGCAUUUGAUACGUGUGAUCUAGAGUGAGGAAGAGGGUCGUGGAAUUCCCAGUGUAGAGGUGAAAUUCGUAGAUAUUGGGAAGAACACCGGUGGCGAAGGCGGCGACCUGGUCCUUGACUGACGCUGAGGCGCGAAAGCGUGGGGAGCAAACAGG